AGUAGUCGAGGCUGAGUGAGCUCUACGACAUAAAGCAAAAUUGGAAAGGCACCAACGCACAGCUGAGCGAGCGGCGAAAGCCCUUGCUGAAAAGAACAUGCGGGAUAUGCUGGUGCAGAGGGAGCAUGCUGAGAAACAUACUGGCUGAAUUUCUUGAUCCUGAAGUCAAGAGAUGGUCAAAUGGAAAAGAAGGAAAUCUGUGAGCAUUGCUGUCCACAUUGCAAUAUGUACGUGUUUUGGC